UGUGGAGUCGUUGGUCGCCGACAAGUUGUAGCAGGAGCAGGGCACGCGGUGCGUCUCCGACCCGUUGCCUCUGAGGACGUGGACCCGGAACCAGUCCUGCGGGGAGUGCCAGCCGCAGCAGCGCAGCUGGGAGAGGGAAAAAGAAACCAGGUGCAGAAGCGGAACGGGAGAGCAGACAUGGAACGUGAGCACCGAAGCACAGCAUCACAUAGAGACAGUUAAGCCCCCGGAUGUCUGUGGGUCUCCCUGACAGCCCUCAAGCCUUGCCACAAGAGCUUGGGGGAGUGGAGUUUUCUCCUAACUUCCCCAGGAAGGAGAUAUCUCGGCCAUUUUGGACGUCUCCUUCCCUAGCUGGCGCUGCUGCACAGCCGAGGCGGCCUCCCCUCCAGCAGCCCUUAUGGGGGCGUGACAGAGGCUUAGAGCAUUUUGCCUUAGGCUCACCUUGUUCACAAUGUCACCUCAGUUCCAUGCUUCAUAACCUGAUAGUCAUUAGUACAAUUAAAGGUUAUAUUGAGUAUAUAUCUUUAUGAUUCUAAGUAACUAUAAGAUUACACGUGAUUAUAUAAAGGAAUAACUAUGUGCUUAUAUUUCUAAUUCUUUUCUAAAUCAAUAUUUAUAUGGGAGCAGGCUGAGGCUUCAGACCCUUGCCACGGCACUUGCGGGGUUCCCCCCACAACUGGGUCAAAGCCCCGUCUAGUCCCCUCUUCCACAACAGUUCAUUGGUUUCUAAGCCAGGUCUCUCCUGCCUCCUGAGUCUCCCCUGCACCCCUCUUCUCUGUCCUCAGGGCUCGGUCAGGCUCAGGGCUCCUGCUCUCCUACCUGGAACCUGACUCUAGGGUCUCCCUGACCUCUAGUCUCUCCCUUCCAGUCUAUCCCCCACAAAGCCCCAGAGGGGUCCCUUUGAAACCCUGACCUGAGCCACACAGCUCUGUAUCCGAACACUGAGUCACCACCUGCGUCGUCCCUCAGCUUCUGUUUCUUUUGUUGUUGUUGAGACAGUCUCUGUUGCCCAGGAUGGAGUGCAGUGGUGCAGUCUUGGCUCACUGCAACCUUCACCUCCUGGGUUCAAACAAACGAUUCUCCCGCCUCAGCCUCAUGAGUAGCUGGGAUUUACAGGCACCCGCCAUCAUGCCCAGCUAAUUUUUGUAGUUUUAGUAGAGGUGGGGUUUCGCCAUGUUGGCCAGGCUGGUCUUGAACUCCUGACCUCAGGUGAUCCGCCAGCCUUGGCCUCCCGAAGUCCUGGGAUUACAGGCGUAAGCCGUUGCACCCGACCUGGCAAUCUGUGUUUUAACAAGCCUUUCUGGUGACUCUGAUGUGCAUUAACGUUUGAGAACAGCAUUUCUAACUAUUUAAUUCACCAGAUUCCCCCCCCCUCUUUUACUGGCAAAUUCCCUCUUGCUUUUUUCUUUCUUCCUUCUUCACUGGCUGAUUCUCCUCAAUCUAUAGUGGAUCUUCCUUUUUACAGCUUAUAAAAUCUGGGGAGUCCCAGCCCUUUCUAGGUGCACUCACUCACGAGAUGAUAUCAUGCAGUCCCAUAGUGUUCCUCGAAAUCUACCAUACUGUUGACUCAUCAGUUUAUAUGCCUAGCCUCAAACGCUAACCCAGAACUGCAGACUCAGGGAGAUCUGUUUGCUGAGUCAACCUCUCCCUUUGGCUGUGUAACUGACAUCGCAAACUAACCUGCUCAAAACGAAACUACUGAUUCCCUCCUACCUUCUGCUCACUCCAGUACUUUUCUUUUCAGUAAAUUGUGACUCCAUCUUCCAAUUCUUCAGGCUCAAAGUUUUGGAGCCCUUUUUUUUUUUUUUUUUUUUUUUUGAGGCAGUCUCGCUCUGUGUCACCAGGCUGGAGUGCGGUGGCAGAAUUUUAGUAGAGAUGUGGUUUCAACAUAUUGGCUGGGAUGGUCUCAAACUCCUGACCCCGUGAGCCACACCUGCCUCAGCCUCCCAAAGUGCUGGGGUUACAGGCAUGAGCCACCUCGCCCAGCCUUAGUACAAUUUAUAAUCACGUAAUUAUUUGCGAGUCAUCAUAUAUCUGUUUUCCUGCUGUGUGAAGCAAACUGAGGGCAGGAAUGGGGUCUCUUUUGUUCUCUACAGUAUUCCUAAUUCCUAGCAUUUAAUAGACUCUCAGUAAAUACGUGUUGAAGGAUUGAAUGAUUCCCAAAGAUUGUGAUGAAUUCUUAAAGCACCCCCACAAUUUCCUCUUCAUCUCUUUGUUCAAUCAUAACAAUUUAAGCCUAUGAUUCUCCAAGUGUGCCCUAGGGACUCCUGGGGGCUCUUGAAACACUUCUGGGAGUCUGCGAGGUGAACAUUAUUUUCGUAAUACUACUAGGAUGUUAUUUGCCUUUCACUGUCAUUUCCUUUUUGCAUACUGUGAUGUUUGCCAGAAGCUACAAGACACGAUCUAUUUUGACACACUUAAUGCAGAAGCAGAUACGAGAAUCCAGCUGUCGUAUAUGAAGCCGGGCAUUAAAGAUAUUUGCAAAAAUGUAAAACAAUGCCAUUCUUCUCCCUAAAAUUUCUUUUGGUGUAGAAAUUAUAGUUAUUUUAAAUAAAAAUGUUAUUUUGACACAUAA